UACAGAGGUCCCAAGCGUUGUUCGGAUUCACUGGGCGUAAAGGGUGCGUAGGUGGUGAGGUAAGUCGGAUGUGAAAUCUCCGAGCUCAACUCGGAAACUGCAUUGGAAACUACCUUGCUCGAGGGUUGGAGGGGGGACUGGAAUGCUUGGUGUAGCAGUGAAAUGCGUAGAUAUCAAGCGGAACACCAGUGGCGAAGGCGGGUCUCUGGGCCGAUACUGACGCUGAGGAGCGAAAGCGUGGGGAGCGAACAGG
rnacentral:rRNA from 1 species